GAAGUUUGCCAUUAUCGUAGAAAAUCACGGAUACAAAAUACAAAA
rnacentral:snoRNA from 1 species